AGAAGGGUAAUUUGCUUGUAGACACAAAGCCUGCUUCAUUUACUUUUGUUUCCCCUCGUCACUAGGAGAUUAAUUCCUUUUUGCAGAGGAUUGGGCAAGUACUCAUGCAUCCAAUAUUUGAUUGGGAGCCCAGCCCAGGUCUCCGUUCCCUAUUCCUUUUUGCUGAUACGAAUUUGCCUGUAUGCUGAUCUCUACUUGUGCAGAGAGGAUAAUCAAGGUGCAGUCAAACCACCAUUCCUUGCGGUAGAAUGUCAAGCAACAAUAUUACAACAUGCAAUUACAAACUUAUUUUGUAUCACCUAUUUGACUGAUGGAUGAGGCAGGCUAUCUUACCUAAACUAGGUUACUAAGUCCUCUGAUUUUGUAUCUAAUGUAGAAGAAAAUCGUACCAAGAUACAUGUAAAGCUAAUAUUUACCGAUGCUGGAAGCAUUUAGAAUCGCCUUGGAGUUGAGAGCCUGAUCGAAUUGUACUUUGGUGGAGGAUGGGAAUAAUGAUCUGCCAAUAUCUGAUAGUAAUCCCAGCUCGACCAACUUCCAAACACGUCUCACUUCCCUAUUAAUGUGACAGAGUGAUAGACUGAAAUUGAAUCACCGACAUCUUCGAACCUGCCUUAAAGAUUCUGUACUUAUAUGCAGAGAGGAUAAGCACUACAUCUUCCUUCAUCAACAGAAUCUUCCCUGUAGUUUGUCUGCCAAACAAAGACAGCACGAGCUGAAAUGAGUGAACUGUUGACUAGCUUGUUGUCAAAGACGGAUACAUUAACUGCCACCGUACCAGUGACUGUUCCAGGAAUGAAGCUAUUAGCUAGGCAGCUCAUGGCUUCCUCACAUACUGAACUGAACUCCCUAUCAGCUUUAAUUACUUCUGCGGCUUGAUUUCUUAAACAUACAGGAAAUGAUGAUUCUCGGUCAUGUAUAGAGCUGAAAGGAUUCUGGACUUCUCAAGGACAAGAUGAUCCUCACCUCCUCAGGUUAUACAAUUCUUCUAUUUACAUAAUUUGGCAUAUAGUGUAGAUGCUACUACAUUGAAACUUGAAGCAUUAAGAAUGGCAUUGGAGUUUAUGGGAUGCUAAUUUGAUACCGAGGUUGGAGUAGCUUAGUCAGGCAGCUGAGCAUCUUAUCUAAUUAUGUAUAUAUUAUAGAUGAGAAUCGCACCAGGCUACUUGUACUGCUCAUAUUGAAGCUUGAUGCAUUCAGAAUGGCAUCAGACUAUCAGAGUUUGAAAAUCUUUUGGUUAAUCACAUGGGCCGAUGAUGGAGCUGAGUCAAGAGCAUCUCUUCCAAGCGUCUGGACUUUAUUAGAGUUAUUGGGAAGAGGAUGGGGCAAAUGAGCAUGCAUCCAAUACUUGAUCGGAAGUCAAACUGCUAUUCGUCAAGUUCCCCAACUCUGAAAUUCACCCUCUCAGUCUACUUCACAAGUUUCCUGAACCAGCUCUGAGUAGAGAGGGUCUUGGGGAAGGAUGGAAAGGGUUUGUGUACUCUUUGCAAGAGGUUUAUGACAAGAAUGGUGCUUUGGAGAAGAUUCGGAGCUUGAAUGGUCACGAUGAUGGCAACUCGAUUUACGAAUCUGUUGUGUUGUUCCACAGCAGAGGU